rnacentral:rRNA from 1 species
AGUGAACGCUGGCGGUAGGCCUAACACAUGCAAGUCGAACGGCAGCACAGUAAGAGCUUGCUCUUACGGGUGGCGAGUGGCGGACGGGUGAGGAAUACAUCGGAAUCUACUUUUUCGAGGGUGAUAACGCAGGGAAACUUACGCUAAUACCGCAUACGACCUACGGGUGAAAGCAGGGGAUCUUCGGACCUCGCGCGAUUGAAUGAGCCGAUGUCGGAUUAGCUAGUUGGCGGGGUAAAGGCCCACCAAGGCGACGAUCCGUAGCUGGUCUGAGAGGAUGAUCAGCCACACUGGAACUGAGACACGGUCCAGACUCCUACGGGAGGCAGCAGUGGGGAAUAUUGGACAAUGGGCGCAAGCCUGAUCCAGCCAUACCGCGUGGGUGAAGAAGGCCUUCGGGUUGUAAAGCCCUUUUGUUGGGAAAGAAAAGCAGCAGGUUAAUACCCCGCUGUUCUGACGGUACCCAAAGAAUAAGCACCGGCUAACUUCGUG